ACACGGGGGGCGCAAGCGUUAUUCGGAAUUAUUGGGCGUAAAGGGCGCGUAGGCGGUCUUGUCGGUCAGAUGUGAAAGCCCAGGGCUCAACCCUGGACGUUCAUUUGAAACAGCAAGUCUUGAGUACGGGAGAGGAAAGCGGAAUUCCUGGUGUAGAGGUGAAAUUCGUAGAUAUCAGGAGGAACACCGAUGGCGAAGGCAGCUUUCUGGACCGAUACUGACGCCGAGGCGCGAAGGCGUGGGUAGCGAACAGGAUUAGAUACCCCGGUAGUCC
rnacentral:rRNA from 1 species